AGGGCACAGGGUGGAUGCCUUGGCACUAGGAGCCGAAGAAGGACGUGGUAGCCUGCGAUAAGCCUCGGGGAGCUGGCAAACGAGCUGUGAUCCGAGGGUUUCCGAAUGGGGGAACCCCGCACGAGUCAUGUCGUGUGACCCGCACCUGAAUAUAUAGGGUGUGUGGAGGGAACGUCGGGAAGUGAAACAUCUCAGUACCGGCAGGAAGAGAUAUUCCGUGAGUAGUGGCGAGCGAAAGCGGAUGAGGCCAAACCGGGCGCGUGGUAAAGCUGUCAGGCGUUGCGUGUCCGGGGUUGUGGGACCCUUCUGGUGGAUCUGACAGUCCACCGGGGAGUCAGAAAGUCGCGUCAUAGUCGAACCGCAUUGAAAGGCGGACCACAGACGGUGCCAGUCCGGUAGACGAAAUGGCGUGGCCUCCCGAAGGGGAUCCCAAGUAGCACGGGGCCCGUGAAAUCUCGUGUGAAUCUGGCAAGACCACUUGCUAAGCCUAAAUACUACCUAGUGACCGAUAGCGGACCAGUACCGUGAGGGAAAGGUGAAAAGUACCCCGGGAGGGGAGUGAAAUAGUACCUGAAACCGUGUGCCUACAAUCCGUUGGAGCCUCCUUGGUUGGGGUGACAGCGUGCCUUUUGAAGAAUGAGCCUGCGAGUUAGUGCUCAGUGGCGAGGUUAACCCGUGUGGGGAAGCCGUAGCGAAAGCGAGUCCGAACAGGGCGAUUCAGUCGCUGGGUCUAGACCCGAAGCGAAGUGAUCUAGCCAUGGGCAGGUUGAAGCGCGGGUAAGACCGCGUGGAGGACCGAACCCACCAGGGUUGAAAACCUGGGGGAUGACCUGUGGUUAGGGGUGAAAGGCCAAUCAAACUUCGUGAUAGCUGGUUCUCCCCGAAAUGCAUUUAGGUGCAGCGUCACGUGUUUCUUGCCGGAGGUAGAGCUACUGGAUGGCCGAUGGGCCCUACAAGGUUACUGACGUCAGCCAAACUCCGAAUGCCGGUAAGCCAGAGCGUGGCAGUGAGACUGCGGGGGAUAAGCUCCGUAGUCGAGAGGGAAACAGCCCAGACCACCGGCUAAGGCCCCUAAGCGUGUGCUAAGUGGGAAAGGAUGUGGAGUUGCACAGACAACCAGGAGGUUGGCUUAGAAGCAGCCACCCUUGAAAGAGUGCGUAAUAGCUCACUGGUCAAGUGAUUCCGCGCCGACAAUGUAGCGGGGCUCAAGUACACCGCCGAAGCCGUGGCACCUGCGUUGAACCCAGGCCUUCGUGGUCCAGGGGCGCAGGUGGGUAGGGGAGCGUCGUGUGGGCGGUGAAGCCGCGGGGGAACCCAGCGGUGGAGGCCACACGAGUGAGAAUGCAGGCAUGAGUAGCGAAAGACGGGUGAGAAACCCGUCCGCCGAAUGACCAAGGGUUCCAGGGCCAGGUUAAUCCGCCCUGGGUAAGUCGGGACCUAAGGCGAGGCCGACAGGCGUAGUCGAUGGACAAGGAGUUGACAUUCUCCUACCGGCGAAGAACCGCCCAUACCGAACCCGGUGAUGCUAACCGCCCAAACCCGCCCACCGACCCUUCGGGGUCACCGGGCGGGGGCGCGCGGGACCCGAACCGGUACUAGGUAAGCGUAUUAACAGGGGUGACGCAGGAAGGUAGCCCGGCGUGGCGAUGGUUGACCACGUCCAAGGCCGUAGACCGUCGGGUAGGCAAAUCCGCCCGGCAACAGGUUGAGAGCUGAUAGUGAGCGCACAAGCGCGAAACGGGUGAUCCUAUGCUGCCAAGAAAAGCCUCGACGCGAGGUUCUAGCCGCCCGUACCCCAAACCGACUCAGGUGGUCAGGUAGAGAAUACCAAGGCGAUCGAGCGAAUCGUGGUUAAGGAACUCGGCAAAAUGCCCCCGUAACUUCGGGAGAAGGGGGGCCCGAAACGUGAACACCCUCGCGGUGGGAGCGUGGACGGCCGCAGAGACCAGGGAGAAGCGACUGUUUACUAAAAACACAGGUCCGUGCGAAGUCGCAAGACGAUGUAUACGGACUGACGCCUGCCCGGUGCUGGAAGGUUAAGAGGACGGGUCAACCCCUCGGGGUGAAGCUCAGAAUUUAAGCCCCAGUAAACGGCGGUGGUAACUAUAACCAUCCUAAGGUAGCGAAAUUCCUUGUCGGGUAAGUUCCGACCUGCACGAAUGGCGUAACGACUUCUCCGCUGUCUCAACCGCGAACUCGGCGAAAUUGCACUACGAGUAAAGAUGCUCGUUACGCGCAGCAGGACGGAAAGACCCCGGGACCUUUACUAUAGCUUGGUAUUGGUGUUCGGUGCGGCUUGUGUAGGAUAGGUGGGAGACCGUGAAGCCCGCACGCCAGUGCGGGUGGAGUCAACGUUGAAAUACCACUCUGGCCGCUUCGGAUGUCUAACCUCGGUCCGUGAUCCGGACCAGGGACAGUGCCUGGUGGGUAGUUUAACUGGGGCGGUUGCCUCCUAAAAUGUAACGG
rnacentral:rRNA from 1 species